rnacentral:rRNA from 1 species
AGAACGAACGCUGGCGGCAGGCUUAACACAUGCAAGUCGAACGCCCCGCAAGGGGAAUGGCAGACGGGUGAGUAACGCGUGGGAACGUACCCUUCGGUUCGGAAUAACCCAGGGAAACUUGGGCUAAUACCGGAUACGUCCGCAAGGAGAAAGGUUUACUGACCGAAGGAUCGGCCCGCGUCGGAUUAG